CUCUUGUGGCCAUCUCAGUGACCACCACUAGAGGUGUUUUUGCAGCUCAAUGUAAAAACAAAAGUUAUUGUUUACAAAUAAGACUACGGGAAUAGGCUCUAUACAUCAAAACCAUUACAACUGCUUAUCUCAUCAAUUCAUUUUCUCAACUCCUUAUCGCCUUCAGUCUGGUUCCCACUCCUUGCAAGCUACAUAGCUUAAAAAGGGACACUAUAGGCAUCCAAACCACUUAAUCACAUUGAAGUGGUCUGGGUGCAGAGUCCCUGUCCCACUUAGUCCUGCAAUGUAAAUCAUUGCAGUUUUCAAGAAACUGCAAUUAUUACUUUGCAGGACUAAGACUAUCAGAUAGCCACUUCUGGGAUUCUAAUAGACU